rnacentral:rRNA from 1 species
GGAAUCUUCCACAAUGGACGAAAGUCUGAUGGAGCAACGCCGCGUGAGUGAUGAAGGUUUUCGGAUCGUAAAACUCUGUUGUAAGGGAAGAACAGGUAUGAGAGGUAAUGCUCAUGCUAUGACGGUACCUUACGAGAAAGCCACGGCUAACUACGUGCCAGCAGCCGCGGUAAUACGUAGGUGGCAAGCGUUGUCCGGAAUUAUUGGGCGUAAAGCGCGCGCAGGCGGCCUUUUAAGUCUGAUGUGAAAGCCCCCGGCUCAACCGGGGAGGGUCAUUGGAAACUGGAAGGCUUGAGUACAGAAGAGAAGAGUGGAAUUCCAUGUGUAGCGGUGAAAUGCGUAGAGAUGUGGAGGAACACCAGUGGCGAAGGCGACUCUUUGGUCUGUAACUGACGCUGAGGCGCGAAAGCGUGGGGAGCAAACAGGAUUAGAUACCCCGG